rnacentral:rRNA from 1 species
UACGUAGGUGGCAAGCGUUGUCCGGAUUUACUGGGCGUAAAGCGCGUGUAGGCGGCUAUGUAAGUCGGGCGUGAAAUCCCACGGCUCAACCGUGGAAGUGCACCCGAAACUGCGUAGCUAGAGUCCUGGAGAGGAAGGUGGAAUGCUUGGUGUAGAGGUGAAAUUCGUAGAUAUCAAGCGGAACACCGGUGGCGAAGGCGGCCUUCUGGACAGUGACUGACGCUGAGACGCGAAAGCGUGGGGAGCAAACAGG